GUGGGUAUAGCUCAGCUUGGUUAGAGCGCCAGAUUGUGGCUCUGGAGGCCGUGGGUUCGAAUCCCACUAUCCACCCCA
rnacentral:tRNA from 1 species